UACCAGCACCCCGAGUGGUCGGGACGAUUAUUGGGCCUAAAGCAUCCGUAGCCGGUCAUGCAAGUCUUCCGUUAAAUCCAGCCGCUCAACGGUUGGGCUGCGGAGGAUACUACGUGGCUAGGAGGCGGGAGAGGCAAGCGGUACUCAGUGGGUAGGGGUAAAAUCCUUUGAUCCAUUGAGGACCACCAGUGGCGAAGGCGGCUUGCCAGAACGCGCUCGACGGUGAGGGAUGAAAGCUGGGGGAGCAAACCGG
rnacentral:rRNA from 1 species